rnacentral:tRNA from 1 species
GUCCCCGUAGCUCAGCCGGAUAGAGCGGCGGUUUCCUAAACCGUAGGUCGGAGGUUCGAAUCCUCUCGGGGACGCCA